rnacentral:rRNA from 1 species
GAUGAACGCUGGCGGCGUGCUUAACACAUGCAAGUCGAACGGAAAGGCUCCUGCUUGCAGGGGUACUCGAGUGGCGAACGGGUGAGUAACACGUGGGUGAUCUGCCCAGCACUUCGGGAUAAGCCUGGGAAACUGGGUCUAAUACCGGAUAGGACGAUGGUUUGGAUGCCAUUGUGGAAAGUUUUUUCGGUGUGGGAUGAGCUCGCGGCCUGUCAGCUUGUUGGUGGGGUAAUGGCCUACCAAGGCGUCGACGGGUAGCCGGCCUGAGAGGGUGUACGGCCACAUUGGGACUGAGAUACGGCCCAGACUCCUACGGGAGGCAGCAGUGGGGAAUAUUGCACAAUGGGCGCAAGCCUGAUGCAGCGACGCCGCGUGGGGGAUGACGGCCUUCGGGUUGUAAACUCCUUUCGCUAGGGACGAAGCGCAAGUGACGGUACCUGGAGAAGAAGCACCGGCUAACUACGUG